UCCGGUUUAACACCGGCAGUCUCACUAGAGUCCCCGGCAUGACCCGUUGGCAACUAGUGAUAGGGGUUUCGCUCGUUAAGCGACUUAACGCGACACUUCACAGCACGAGCUGACGACAGCCAUGCAGCACCUGUGCAUGUUCCACUACGAGAGUGUCAUCUGUCUUUCAACAGACUAAUCCAUGCAUGUCAAGCCCAGGAUAAGGUUCUUCGCGUUGCUUCGAAUUGAGCCACAUGCUCCACCGCUUGUGUGAGCCCCCGUCAAUUCCUUUGAGUUUUAGCCUUGCGACCGUACUCCCCAGGCGGUGCACUCAUCGUUUUUACUUCGACCGAGAGAGGCGUCAGUACCUUCCUCGAUCUCGUGCACAUCGUUUACGGCGUGGACUA
rnacentral:misc_RNA from 1 species